CCGGGAUUCCCGGGAACGCGGCCGGGAUUCCCGGGAACACGGCCGGGAUCCCGGGAAAGCGGCCGGGAUUCCCGGGAAAGCGGCCGGGAUUCCCGGGCACACGGCCGGGAUUCCCGGGAAAGCGGCCGGGAUUCCCGGGAAAGCGGCCGGGAUGAUCCCAGGGUGAUCCCAGGAGGGUCCCAGGGUGACCCCGGGAUUCCCGGGAAUGCCGCCGGGAUGGUCCCAGGGUGAUCCCGGGAGGGUCCCAGGGUGAUCCCGGGAUGGUCCCAGGGUGAUCCCAGGGUGAUCCCGGGAUGGUCCCAGGGUGAUCCCAGGGUGAUCCCGGGAGGGUCCCAGGGUGAUCCCGGGAUGGUCCCAGGGUGAUCCCAGGAUGAUCCCAGGGUGAUCCCAGGGUGAUCCCGGGAGGGUCCCAGGGUGAUCCCAGGGUGAUCCCAGGGUGAUCCCGGGAUGAUCCUGGGAUGAUCCCAGGGUGAUCCCAGGGUGAUCCCAGGGUGAUCCCGGGAUUCCCCCAGGUGAACGAGCUGCAGAACCUGACGGCCGCCGAGGUUGUGGUGCCGCGGGAGCAGAGCCCGGACGAGAACGAGCAGGUGAUCGUCAAAAUCAUCGGGCACUUCUACGCCAGCCAGAUGGCUCAGCGCAAGAUCCGGGACAUCCUGGCGCAGGUGAAGCAGCAGCAGCAGAAGGGCCAGAGCCAAUCCCGGAGGAAAUAGGGAACCCCCGGAUCCCAAAUCCCGGGAAAAACCAGGACACGGCGCAGCCAGGCCGGGCUCCGAGUGCCGGGGAAUCAGCAACUGCAGGGAGACAGGGAUCGGGAAUGAGCUGGGAUCGGGAAUCACUUCCACAGGGAUCGGGAAUGAGCUGGGAUCGGGAAUCACUUCCACAGGGAUCGGGAAUGAGCAGGGAUCAGGAAUCACUUCCAAUGAGCUGGGAUCGGGAAUGACUUCCACAGGGAUCGGGAAUCACUUCCACAGGAAUCGGGAAUGAGCUGGGAUCGGGAAUGAGCUGGGAUCGGGAAUCAUUUCCACAGGGAUCG
rnacentral:lncRNA from 1 species